UUUCUACUAAAACUAUUUCAGCCAAAGAAUGUUGAAGUCCUUAUCACGAAUUCAUGAUCUGUUAUCAGUAUUUGAGAAAGAUUACCAUUUGUACAGAAUGUAUCCUUUGAUACCUUGAACUUUGAAUCUGAAACUUAUGAACAAAUAAACUAUUCAACAAAUUGAUAUCUGAAAUCAAAAGAAAAUGAUCUUGAGAUAAGGACUAUGUCAACCCCAAUUCCAAUGUGAUAGCUUUUUGUGCAACUGUCUUUUACAUAUGUUCUUACAGAUUUUGAAAUUAGUAAAAUUUAGUUUCUCACCCUAAAAAUGUAGAGCAGCUUUAAUUUGUUUUCUGAACACGGCUUAAAUUAUCCUAUAAAAGAUUUGUCAAAUCAUCAGCUCAAUUGCUUGGGGCGAUAUGUUGAUCCAAACUCUUCUCCAUGUAUCCUGAAGAUGGAUGGAAGUCUUAGAUGAGUUUUUCAUUUCCAGAAAGUUGUUGCCUUUCUCAUCUGCUGGAACAUGCAAAUAGAUCAUUAUUUAACUUGAAGUAUAUUGACUCGUAAGCAUGCUUGUAUCUUUUAGGGGGCUAGUGGGCCGUCACUGCUACAAUUCUGCUGGAUAUAUUCUUGAAUCCAAGAUCCACUAUUUACUUGGAUUUUAUUAUACCGGUUCCUGCCAUCUUAAUGGAAAUCUUUUUAAUCAGGAAAGAUGUAUUGAUAACAUUGGAGGUUUGUUGCUUUUCCUCCUUUGGCUGUGUUAUCAUCUUUCCAACAAACCUUUUCUUUUCGUAUGUUUGUGCAUGCUAAUGGAAACAACUAAUCUAACCAAUCUAAAAAGUUAAUUCACUAUUGAUUGGUGCAAUUUGUUUUCUCAGAGGAAUAGUCACAUUGCAGGUUCAGCACACUUGGGGGGUGCUGCAGUUGCAGCUAUAGCAUAUGCUCAAAUUAGGAAGGGAUUUCAACUUAUGUUUGAUUAUUCAGUUACGUUUUAUAUAUUUCCUUGGGGCCAAAUUCCCAUUUGCAAGGGACUGAGUGUCAGUUGUGCUCUGAAGAUAUAUUUGAUUACAUUGUAUCCUUGAGGCCUUUAAACGUCAUUCAUCAACAUACAAACUUAGAUCCAGUA